CACCCCUCUCACCACUCUUGUGGGUUUUCCUUCUUUUGAGGAACCCAUCUCUUGUUUCUCUGUUGUGGCAAAAUUGUGUCUGUAAAACAGAUUGAAAUUUGAAGGGAUUGGUUUGUAAAACAGAAUUGAAAUUUGAAGGGAUUGGUUCGUAUAACAGAGUGUAAAGGGAAAAGGGUUGAAAGGAUUGGGGAAGAGAGAGAGAGAGAGAGAGAGAGAGAGAGAGAGAGGAUGCAGGCCGAGGUGAGGUUUAUGGGUUCGGCCGGACUUUUGUAUCGAGCAAUUGACUACGAAUUCUACACGGGGAAGGUAUGGGUCAGGUCAAAUAUAGGAAGCUCCCUUGCUAGCCCCCUACCUCUUCUCUCUGUC